AACUCACCAUGUAGAUGAAGCUGGCCUCAAACUGACGAGAUUCUCCAACCCCUGCCUCCUGAGUGCUUGUAGUAAAGGCCCUGACACAUAUGUCCUACCUUCAAGGACCUCACAGUGAAGAAGGCUGGCUGAUCAUGCUACAGGUUACCGGGCAUGGUCUUUUCUUUAUCUGGACCUUUGACCCUCGACCCACAAGCAAAGGUUCCGGUGACUGACUUCCAGGCUAGCGUUCUGGGGGAUACUGGAAAGAAGACCAUUUUCUCUCCAGUGGAGAUUGCUAAUCAAACUAUGCAGCUUCUCUGGGGAAGAUGACUCUGUCAGGUUUGAUUGGAGCUGUGGGCCCUGAUGCCCAACCUGACAGCCCUGAUAGGCUGAGGGCCUGCUCUCUAGAAGCAAGAGGAACGAAUGUUACCUUCCAUGCCUUACCUCUUGCUCAGGCUGAGUCCUACCAAGCCUGAUAAGAGAGCUGUCCCGGGAGGUGAACCGGGAGAAUUUCAAGAAAAUGGUGAGAUUUUGGCAAUUUGGGUA
rnacentral:lncRNA from 1 species